GACAUUAGUGUUGCGGUUCCAUGCGGUGUUCUGUGCGGCUCACAAUAUCAACCGCCAUAUUGCGUAGUGCGGGACUUAAAAUAAAUUGCGUCGUGUGUGUGCGCAAGUGCCACUUCAAUAAGUGACUAUAAACUUUACUGUGAAAAGCUGUGCUUUUUAAAAAACUGUGACCUGUGUUGCUGGUGUUAUUGGUGUCAUAGGACUCAGGCUGUGCUAUUGAUAGCAAUUAUAAAAAGGACAUUGUUACCGUGCUGUGCCAUUGACAGUUAUCAGCCACGCAUUGCGUGGUACGAGUAAUAGUGCUACCUAGUGUUAAUCACAACAUACUUACUGUGUUCGGGCUGUUGCUAUUGAGCAGUAUUUUAAUACGAACAUCAGGACUAAACAAACAUAAAUUCAGCCUGCUAUUGAGGCUGGUGCAUAUCAAUCUUCAUAAAUAUCGUCAUUCGAAUAGCAGAGGACAAGGUGAGCUGACUGAGUUCACGGUCAAGGACGGGAGCGGGAACAUACGUCAUCGACUGAUUCACACAACUCCACGAGGCAUCCGCCUUUGACAAAAGGAGCGGGCUAUAUCGUGCUGCAACGGGUAGGAGCGAGACAGCGAGACGUCGCUGUGCGAAGAACCCACCAAUUGCGGACGAGAGCGGCCUCGGUGAACGCUUCCGAUUGGUUCGUGAAUGAAGCAAGUUCGCGACAAUUCAUUCAAUUUCAUUCCUUGACGCGCGACGCGAGCGCCUUUGAACUGCGACUGCUGCGCAUUAACGCCAUUUUGUUUUCUCUGUUCUCUUUACUUAUUACGCAGUGUGCUCAGUCACGUUUUUUUUCUAUUAAAAGUGAAAACUAUAGUCGAAUUGCACAAUAUAACUGUAUUAAUUAAUUUUAAAAGUACGAUUCACAAUGGAAGACGAUUUAAAACGCAUGGUUGCGACCAGAGGUCAAUUUAAAGGUACUAUCACUAGACUAAGUAACCUCAAAUUAGAAAAUGUAACAAGGGAGCAGGUUCUCGUUAAAAAGGAACAGCUAGUGUCUACCUAUCAUAAAUAUUGUGAACUAACUAUUGAUAUUUCAAUUCUAGACCCGAACGACGACGAAAAAAUUGACGAGUAUGAGGAUAAAUACUUGAUAACUUUGGCGGCACUCAAUCAAUGGCUCAAUGAACAUCUGUCAGCAGGUAACAUUGAAGGGCCUAGCCAACCCCCGAAGGUAUCCAGUAUGACUCAUCAGAGUCUUCCACGGAUCGAGAUUGGAAAGUUCAAUGGCCAGGUAGGCAAAUACCACGAUUUUGUAAACUUGUUCAAAAGUAUCAUUGACAAUGACACUAGGCUGUCGCAAUGCGAUAAAUUUUAUUAUUUAAAAACCUUAUUAGAAGGUGAGGCUGCGGAUGUGGUGCAGCAUUUAAGCUUAAAUGCCGAAAAUUAUAAUGUUGCUUUGCAAUUGUUAGCUGAGCGCUAUGAUAAUAAGUUUAGGAUAAUUAACCAUCACAUAAACAGCAUACUUGAUCUACCUGUUAUAAAGAAAUGCUCUGCUGCUAGCUUAAGAGAGCUUGUAUCCAAAACUAAACAACACUUGUCAGCAUUAACUAACCUAGAGGUUCCCACACAGCACUGGGACUUAAUGAUUUUAUGUAUUUUACAGCGUAAGAUUGACAUGUACACCUUUAGAUGCUUUCAUCUAGAAUUAAAAGAUAACACUUUACCUAAACUAGAUUUAUUUCUGAAAUUUCUAGAUCAGCGAGCAUCUGCACUUGAAACUGUGGCAGAGGUGCAACAACCGUGUACUUCUGUGAACAAAUACCAUGGAGCGAGCUUAGUGGCGGCUGCUGAGGGCCAAAUAAGCAGAUCAUGUACCUAUUGCCAGUCCAAGUAUCAUAACAAGCUUCAUCAGUGCCAAAAAUUCAAGCUAGCCUUGCCAUCUGACCGCAUAAAAUUCGUUGAAUCUAACAAAUUAUGCAAGCUUUGCUUAAACUCACAUAAAGGUAAGUGUUACUUUGCGUUUAGGUGUGCUACAUGUAAAGACAAACAUAAUACUUUAAUUCAUGACAGUGAUAGUGUUGAUUUAUCAAAACAAGUUGCUUUAUCAAGAAAUUUAAGUGAAAAUAUAUUAUUACCUACUGUAAAGGUGAAGGUUUAUGAUAAAAAUGGUAGGCCAAUGUACUUGAGAGCCCUUUGCGACUCAGGUAGUCAAACUUCAUUUAUUUUGUCCGAUGUGGCAAACAAAAUUGAUUGUCAAUUGUUUAAUGAGAAAACCAUUAUCAGUGGGAUUUGUGGAUCUAAUGAAAUCAAACAAAAGGCAUCAUUAACUGUUUAUUCAACAGUAAACAACAAUACACAAGAUUUAACCUGUUGUGUAGUUAAAAAUAUAACUAGUAACUUGCCACAGUUUCCAGUUAACAAACAAAGCUUAAAUAUACCUCCAAAUGUGCAAUUAGCCGAUCAGCAGUUUCACAUUAGUGAUAAAAUAAGUAUUCUAUUAGGAUGUGAUAUAUUUUUCAGAAUAUUAAUGAGAGAACAGCUGCCAGUGGCUCCAGGUGGGCUAUAUUUGCAUAACACUAUGUUUGGCUAUAUUGUAGCAGGCAAGUUACCACAGCAUGGUAAGUAUAAACAAUGCCCGGUUAGUAACUUUUGUAGUAGCACAAGUAAUAUGAUGUUAGACUCAGAGUUUGAUCAAAAUGAGAUACAAAGGUUAAAUUCAAUUGACAAUUCACUAAAAAGGUUAUGGCAGUGUGAAGAGGUGCCUAAGGUCUAUACAGAGGCCUCCUCAGAGCAGGAACUUGCUGAAAUUCAGUUCUGUGAGUCAACAAAAUUAAUAGAUGGUAGGUUUGAGGUGUCUUUACCUUUAAAGCAGGACUUUAAGGAUAUAAGGCUAGGUGAUUCUUUAUCACGGGCUCUUCAAAGGUUUUACAACCUAGAAAAGAGGUUCAUUAGAGAUCCUUCGUUACAGGAACCCUAUAAAAAAUUUAUAGAUGAGUAUGUACAAUUAGGGCAUGGUAGAUACUAUGAUAUUAGCGAUUACAAUUUAGAGCAGGACCCGGUGUAUUUCUUACCACACCAUCCAGUAAUUAAUCAAAAUAGUAAAACAACAAAACUUCGGGUAGUGUUUGAUGGGUCAAUGUUAACUAAUGAAGGUGUUUCAUUAAAUGAUCACUUAUUAAAUGGACCUUGUGUUCAAAAUGACCUAUUUAGCAUUUUGAUCUUAUUUAGGUUAAAUGGUAAAUAUGUGUUCAUUUCUGACAUUAAAAAAAUGUUUAGAAAUAUUAUGUUGAACAAAAAACAAUGUUCACUACAAAACAUACUGUGGAGAGACACACCACAGGAAGAAAUAAGAUGUAUUCAAUUGCUAAGUGUAACAUAUGGUCUCCGAAGUUCAAACUUCUUAGCUACAAGGUGUUUAAAUGAGUUAGCUUACCGGUUCAAGGAUAAGUACCCUCUGGGGGCAGCUACUUUGUUAAACAAUGUCUAUGUUGAUGAUGUCAGCGUAGGGAGUAAUGAUCUUGAUGAACUCUGUGAGAUUAAAAAACAGUUGACUGAGCUACUGAAGUUAGGUAGUUUUGAGUUGCACAAAUGGAGUUCCAACCAUCCAAAAAUAUUACAGGAUAUUCCUAAGAGUGAUCAAAAUCUUGAGGAUAUUGAGUUUUGUCAGCAUGAAGAUGCCUUUGUUAAAACAUUAGGCAUAAAGUACAAUGUAAAAAAGGAUACCUUUAAUAUAGGGUGUUCACAAAAUGAGGUUCUUACAGAAUAUACCAAAAGACAGAUUUUAAGUUUUUUGAGUAGUGUAUUCGACCCGUUAGGUAUAAUAGGGCCUAUAAUUGUAUUGGCAAAAAUAUUCAUGCAACAGACAUGGAUGCUGAGGACUGCUUGGGAUCAGGCAGUGCCCUAUGAUUUAAAUAAAAAAUUUAAAGAAUUUGUUGAAAAUUUGUUAGGUAUGUCAGAUAUAGUGAUACCUAGAAACAUAAGAACAUACGAACUUCAGUUAAUAGAGCUAGUAGGGUUCUCUGAUGCUUCCAACAAGGCAUAUGGAAGCUGUUUAUAUGUUAGAACUAUUGAUUAUCAGGGAAAUGUUAGUAUGAACCUUCUAUGUUCUAAAUCCAGGAUUAAUCCUAUGACUAAAUUGACCACACCGAGAUUGGAGCUCAAUAGCGCAUUACUGCUGGCCAAGUUAGCCAAAAAGGUGUAUGACACUUUAAAAACAAAGUUUAGCUUAAAUGUGUAUCUAUAUGUUGAUUCAACAAUUGUUUUGGCAUGGUUAAAUACAGAACCAGUCAAAUUAAGUGUGUAUGUAGCCAAUAGGGUUAAGAUGAUUCGUGACUUAACUAAAGAGUUUUUAUGGCUGUAUGUAAAUACCACAAAAAACCCAGCAGACUGCCUAUCCAGAGGUGUUGAGCCACACUUGUUACAAAAUUAUGAUCUUUGGUGGUGUGGUCCAGAUUAUUUUAAAGAAAGUAGCUAUGUACAUAGUAGCAGGGGGCUUAAUUUCCCAGAGCAAAUUCCUGAAGUUAAGAUUUGCGGUAUUUCUAUUGAAAAGAAAAAAGAAAAGUUUGAGUUACUGUCAAAAUACUCAGAUAUAAAUAAAUUAAUAAGGGUAAUUGCUUGUAUAUACAGAGUUUACAACAUUUGUAAAAAGGAAGGCCACUUAGGAGGUAACAUAACUUGUGCUGAGUUAGACUUUGCAUUAAAAAUGAUAAUUAGGUGCGAUCAAAAACAUUAUUUUGAAAGUGAGAUGAAUGCAUUGACCUCAAAUAAACCAAUAAAAGGUAACCUUAGUUCAUUGAACCCGUUCAUUGAUGACAUGGGGCUACUGCGAGUAGGUGGUAGGUUGCAGCAUGCUCAGAUUCCUUAUUUUCAAAAACAUCCGAUUAUUUUGGCCAAGGGUUCAAAUAUUACGCAUCUAAUAAUAGCUAAUGAGCAUAAGCUACUCAUGCAUGCAGGUCAAAGAAUGAUUUUAUCAACUUUAAGCCAAAGGUAUUACAUUGUUAAUGGAUUAAGAGAAAUAAAAUGUGUUAUACAUAAAUGUAUUGUUUGUUUUAGGCUUAAGGCUAAAACAACGGAACAGCUGAUGGGUUCAUUGCCAUUUGAUAGGGUAAACCCUUGCCGUGCCUUUGAGAAAGUAGGUAUUGAUUAUGGGGGUCCCUUCUCAGUUAAGGCACACCGUAUCAGGAAACCAUUAAUUUAUAAGGCAUAUAUUCUCAUCUUUGUAUGCUUCGUCACAAAGGCGAUACACAUUGAGUUGGCUUCUAACAUGACCACAGAAUGCUUCCUGCAAUGUUUAAAAAGAUUUAUAAGCCGUCGUAACAGGCCAUCAAUAAUUUAUUGUGAUAAUGCAGCUACAUUCAAAGGGGCUAGCAACCAACUCAAUGAUUUAUAUUCAAAUCACUCUAAAAAGGAGCACCAAGAUACAGUGCAUAGAUUUGCAAGUGACUUAGGUAUUGAAUUUAAUUUUAUACCGGCAUAUUCACCAGUGUUCGGAGGUUUAUGGGAGGCUGGCAUAAAAAGUGCUAAAUUUCAUAUGAAAAGGGUUAUAGGCAACCAAGUACUCACUUAUGAGGAGUUAAACUCUGUAAUAAUACAAAUAGAGGGUGUAUUAAACUCAAGACCACUCAUCGCCUUACCAGCUACUGACACCACUGAUAUGGCCUAUUUAACUCCUAGUCAUUUUUUAACAGGAGCUGCUAUGACUUCUAUACCUGAACCUGAUGUGAAAGAUAUACCCAUUAAUAGAUUAUCUUUCUGGAAACAAUGUACAAAAAUGAUACAAUGUUUUUGGAAGGCAUGGCACAAGCAGUAUCUUGUGCAACUACAGAACAGGCCCAAGUGGCGUUCUGAUAGGCCUAACUUAGAAGUAGGUACUUUAGUAAUAGUAAGGGAAGAUAACUUACCUCCAUUACAGUGGAAAAUGGCUCGCAUUGUAGAAGUGUAUCCUGGUACAGAUGGCAAGGUUAGGGCACUCACUGUUAUUAACAGCAAAGGCACUAAAAUGCGAACGAGUGUGCAUAAGGUUUGUGUGUUGCCUAUAGAAUAAGUUAUCUGAUAUCUGCUUACUUGAUUCUGUCACUCAGCUCGAUCUAGAGGUAAUUUAAAUUCUUAUCAUACAUGGUAUAGAAUAAGCUAAUUGUUAGUAGGUAUAAUUAAGCAUAUUUAAUCGUUAGUUAAGUUGUACUAAAUACUUACCUAAACUUAUGCUGUGUUAACAGUUGAUUAAACUUAAUAAUAAUUAAUUAUUUAAGCAGGUUCUUAUGUAGCCAUCUAUAGAAACGUAUAACCUAAGAUAAUUAAAAUAAAUAGGAUUAAUGAACUGUACUCAACAUAAGUAUUCUAUAGAUAUAAAGAAAAUGUAAGAAACUAUUGUUUACUGAUGAUAUUGUUACAAUUUCAUGUCAGCUAUCUACCUAUAUUGUUACAUAAAUGUAAUUUCAGUUUGGGAGCUUAAUUUUUUUGAUUUGUCAAACAAUUAUUGUUAUUUUUGCCUUGGGCCCCAAUUAUGUACAAUACAUGCACAUGAACAUAGAUUAGUUCCUAAUUCAGUCGCAUUAGAACCACCGUACUGUCAAUGUGUGUCUUUAUUUAGUGAUUAAAACCUCAAUAUACAGUCCACUAUUUAAACUUAA